ACAAAAACACAAACGCAGGUGAUCUCCUCAUCGUCAUGGCGCUCAAGAUCAAAGCGACUAGUAUGGGCGCUGUUCUCCUGGCUCUUAUGGUCAUGUCUAUCAUGAUUUCAUCACCUUUUGUCUACGCACAUACAAAUGAAUCGCCGGUUAACCCUGUAGUUGAUGAAGGAUCGAAUCCUGCAACAUGCUUCCAUCUGGAAAGCUGUGAAGCCCGGUGCGGAACCGUAUGUAGUGUCAGUGGCAAGCCUUCUGCUAAUUCCUACUGCAAGCAAGAUCAAUGUUGCUGCGCCUAGUUUUAUGGUUAUAUUCUUGUUCGAGCAAUAAUGUUGUAACCGUUUCUUGCAAACACAAUAUUAGUUACGAAAAAAAUUAUCAA